GGCUUUUGACCUUUAUGAA
rnacentral:misc_RNA from 1 species